rnacentral:rRNA from 1 species
UGGGGAAUAUUGCACAAUGGGCGCAAGCCUGAUGCAGCCAUGCCGCGUGUGUGAAGAAGGCCUUCGGGUUGUAAAGCACUUUCAGCGAGGAGGAAGGUGGUGAGCUUAAUACGCUCAUCAAUUGACGUUACUCGCAGAAGAAGCACCGGCUAACUCCGUGCCAGCAGCCGCGGUAAUACGGAGGGUGCAAGCGUUAAUCGGAAUUACUGGGCGUAAAGCGCACGCAGGCGGUUUGUUAAGUCAGAUGUGAAAUCCCCGGGCUCAACCUGGGAACUGCAUUUGAAACUGGCAAGCUAGAGUCUCGUAGAGGGGGGUAGAAUUCCAGGUGUAGCGGUGAAAUGCGUAGAGAUCUGGAGGAAUACCGGUGGCGAAGGCGGCCCCCUGGACGAAGACUGACGCUCAGGUGCGAAAGCGUGGGGCAGCAAACAGGAUUAGAUACCCUGGUAGUCCACGCUGUAAAACGAUGUCGAUUUUGGAGGUUGUGCCCCUUGAGGCGUGGCUCCCGGAGCUAACGCGUUAAAUCGACCGCCUGGGGAGUACGGCCGCAAGGUUAAAACUUAAAGGAAUUG